AUGAAAGAAGCCAACUGAUUGGUUGCUAGGGGCAACUGGGCAACUUUUCCUCUACACAGGUUUUGAUAAAUCUCCCCCAAUGUCCUUGUGCGCUUACAGAGAAAGAAGCGGCAGAAUUCCUGUUUAUCCAGUGAUGCCCCCCCCAUGACUAUACUGUGAGGGGCGCGCCGGGCGCAGCCAUGUACCGUAAAUACGAGUUAUCGAAGCGAGAGCACAACACACCAGUAAUGACAGGAUUCGCCGAGCGGGCAGCAGAGGUCACUGUUCACACAGGGCACCCGGGCGUGCCGCCUCCGCCGCAGUCUGUAUAACCUCCUCAUAACUGAUGGGAACGGUAUAAUUAAUAUUGAUGAUCGGCUGCUAGUUGAGAUGUUGUUUUUUUUUCUUCUUGUUUUUUAGAUUGCCGGCUUACCAUAAGGCCCCUGGAGAAGAGAGGGAAAAAAGGUAAAGCGUGCGGCUCCCGAGACGCCAGGAGAUGUCUGCCGAAGCCUUUUCGAGAACCUUCACGCCACUCACUUCCAAAUAUUAAUCUAGUUUGAAAACAAAAAAAAUAAAAAGAGCUUCUCUGCUCCUUACUGAAAUCUUUCCAUCGCUUACGGGAAUUAUAACUUUGGAAGCCUACAAGUUCAAUCACGAGACGUUAUUACAUCGAGAUUGCGAGAGGAAUGUCCUGUGAAGUUUGCAAUUUUCCACUUCGAUUUCCACCAGAAAUUCAAGCAAUGUCAAGAGCUGUAAAUCUGAAUUAAACAUUAGUGCUGGCACAGAUGAUUUUAUUUAUUUAUUAUUUUUAUUUAUCUAUUUAAUUUAUUUAUUUAAUUGAUUUAUAUAGUUUUUUAUACCUUUAUUUAUUUAUUUUUAUUUACCUUUGUUUGUUUAUUUGUUUAUUUAUUACUUGCUUUAUU